CACUGGUCGAGUGAUCCUGCGCCGAAGAUUUCCGGGGCUAAAACUUACUACCGAAGCUACGGCAUCAGUAAUGAUGGGUAGGGGAGCUUCCCAUACGGGUUGAAGCAUGACCGUAAGGACAUGUGGACAGUAUGGGAGUGAGAAUGUUGGCAUGAGUAGCGAGAUGUGGGUGAGAAUCCCACAGGCCGUAAACCCAAGGUUUCCAGGGGAAGGUUCGUCCGCCCUGGG
rnacentral:rRNA from 1 species